rnacentral:rRNA from 1 species
GACGUGAACAUCAGGUGCUUACGUACUGACGGAAUAGUGCGUCGAGCCUAGCCUUUGGGCGAAGCAAAAGCAAGUAGUGUCCACCAAGAAAAGCUACCAAAGCUUCAGCUGUAAGGAACUCGUACCGCAAACCAACACAGGUAGUCGAGGAGAGUAUCCACAGGUGCUCGAGUGAUUCAUGGCUAAGGAACUAGGCAAAUUGACCCUGUAACUUCGGAAGAAAGGGUCCCCGACUACGGUCGGGGCGCAGAGAAAUGGCCCAGGCGACUGUUUAACAAAAACACAUGGCUUUGCUAAAUCGAAAGAUGACGUAUAAGGCCUGACACCUGCCCGGUGCUGGAAGGUUAAGGGGAGAGGUUAUCCCGACUCGUCGGGAGAAGCUUCAAACUGAAGCCCCAGUAAACGGCGGCCGUAACUAUAACGGUCCUAAGGUAGCGAAAUUCCUUGUCGGGUAAGUUCCGACCUGCACGAAUGGUGUAACGAUCUGGGCACUGUCUCAGCCAUGAGCUCGGUGAAAUUGUAGUAGCGGUGAAGAUGCCGCUUACCCGCAACGGGACGGGAAGACCCCGUGAACCUUUACUAUAGCUUAACAUUGACUCUGGAUAAAUGAUGUGUAGGAUAGGUGGGAGACUGUGAAGUCCCAACGCCAGUUGGGAUGGAGUCAACCUUGAAAUACCACCCUUCGUUUAUUCGGAGCCUAAUCCCCUCUAUCGCGGGAAACAGUGUUUGGUGGGUAGUUUGACCGGGGUGGUCGCCUCCAAAAACGUAACGGAGGCUCUCAAAGGUACCCUCAGCACGCUUGGUAACCGUGCGUCGAGUGCAAUGGCAUAAGGGUGCUUGACUGCGAGACUUACUAGUCGAACAGGUAGGAAACUAGGACAUAGUGAUCCGGUGGUCCCAUAUGGAAGGGCCACCGCUCAAAGGAUAAAAGGUACUCCCGGGAUAACAGGCUGAUCACUCCCAAGAGCUCACAUCGACGGAGUGGUUUGGCACCUCGAUGUCGGCUCGUCAUAUCCUGGGGCUGGAGAAGGUCCCAAGGGUUCGGCUGUUCGCCGAUUAAAAUGGCACGCGAGCUGGGUUCAGAACGUCGUGAGACAGUUCGGUCCCUAUCUGUUGCGGGCGUGGGAAGUUUGAGGGGACCUGACCUUAGUACGAGAGGACCGGGUUGGACAAACCGCUGGUGUACCUGCUGUGGCGCCUAGCUGCACCGCAGGGUAGCUAUGUUUGGACGAGAGAAGUGCUGAAAGCAUCUAAGUACGAAACUCACCCCAAGAUGAGACUUCCAUUGAGGGCCCUUGUAGACUACAAGGUCGAUAGGCUGCAGGUGUAAAGAUGGUAACAUCCGUGCCAAGCAGUACUAAUCGCCCAAUACUUUAUCUC